rnacentral:RNase_P_RNA from 1 species
GGAGCCAAUCGGACGAUCGCCGGUUUCUUUUUGAGACGGGAGGAAAGUCGGGGCACCAUAGGGCAUACUGGCUGUUAGCGGCAGCGCUGGGUGACUGGCGGAAAGUGCCACAGAGAAUAGACCGCCUUAAUGUGGUCUUUGGUGUAUUUUGGAGAGGGUUGUCUUACUUCGCCCCCUUCUGUGCCCUCGCUAACGCGGGUGCUUCGAAGGGUGCUACGAAGGACACCCUUGCCUCAAUGCAGCAAGGGCUGCAUUGAGGCAAGGGUGAAACGGUUGGGUAAGAGCCCACCAGCAGUAAGC